GAGCCUUCCACUCACAAUCUGUGGUAAAUUUUGUCAUUAUAAAAAUUUCAGUAACAAUUUCUUGCAGGCAAGUAAACAUUAAUAAUAUUGACAGAUUCAGACCUAGAGACUAUAUCAAUGUAAGAGUAUUUUUUUGUGACAGAUAGAUGAUCCACAGUAAAACUGGGUGGCCUACUGGCCUAGUAGGGCAAAACUUUUGAUAAGUCAAAUAAACCACUCACACAAAG
rnacentral:misc_RNA from 1 species